CUCCAGACUCCUACGGGAGGCAGCAGUGGGGGAUAUUGCACAAUGGGGGAAACCCUGAUGCAGCGAUGCCGCGUGAAUGAAGACGGCCUUCGGGUUGUAAAGUUCUGUCGCAGGGGACGAAAAUGACGGUACCCUGCAAGAAAGCUCCGGCUAACUACGUGCCAGCAGCCGCGGUAAUACGGAGGAUGCGAGCGUUAUCCGGAUUUAUUGGGUUUAAAGGGUGCGCAGGCGGCACGGCAAGCCGGCGGUCAAAUCGCGGGGCUCAACCCCGCCCAGCCGUCGGAACUGCCGGGCUAGAGUGGGCGAGAAGUGCGCGGAAUGCGUGGUGUAGCGGUGAAAUGCAUAGAUAUCACGCAGAACUCCGAUUGCGAAGGCAGCGCACCGGCGCCCUACUGACGCUCAGGCACGAAAGCGUGGGUAUCGAACAGGAUUAGAUACCCCGGUAC
rnacentral:rRNA from 1 species